UAUCAAUAAGCGGAGGAAAAGAAACCAACAGGGAUUGCCCUAGUAACGGCGAGUGAAGCGGCAACAGCUCAAAUUUGAAAUCUGGCCCUAGGCCCGAAUUGUAAUUUGUAGAGGAUGCUUUUGGUGCGGUGCCUUCUGAGUUCCCUGGAACGGGACGCCAAAGAGGGUGAGAGCCCCGUAUAGUCGGACACCAAUCCUCUGUAAAGCUCCUUCGACGAGUCGAGUAGUUUGGGAAUGCUGCUCAAAAUGGGAGGUAAAUCUCUUCUAAAGCUAAAUACCGGCUAGAGACCGAUAGCGCACAAGUAGAGUGAUCGAAAGAUGAAAAGCACUUUGAAAAGAGGGUUAAACAGCACGUGAAAUUGUUGAAAGGGAAGCGCUUGUGACCAGACUUGCGCCCGGUUGAUCAUCCAGCGUUCUCGCUGGUGCACUCUGCCGGGUUCAGGCCAGCAUCGGUUCUCGCGGGGGGAUAAAAGCUUCGGGAAUGUAGCUCCCUCGGGAGUGUUAUAGCCCGCUGCAGAAUACCCUCGCGGGGACCGAGGUUCGCGCUCCGCAAGGAUGCUGGCGUAAUGGUCAUCAGCGACCCGUCUUGAAACACGGACCAAGGAGUCAAGCAUUAGGGCGAGUGUUUGGGUGUAAAACCCGCACGCGUAAUGAAAGUGAAUGUAGGUGAGAGCUUCGGCGCAUCAUCGACCGAUCCUGAUGUAUUCGGAUGGAUUUGAGUAAGAGCCUUACCGCUUGGACCCGAAAGAUGGUGAACUAUGCAUGAAUAGGGUGAAGCCAGAGGAAACUCUGGUGGAGGCUCGCAGCGGUUCUGACGUGCAAAUCGAUCGUCAAAUUUGUGCAUGGGGGCGAAAGACUAAUCGAACCAUCUAGUAGCUGGU
rnacentral:rRNA from 1 species